GAGAACACACAGGAGCUCCUCCUGCUCAGCCACUCCAACGGGGUGAAGGGUCAUAAAAGAGUGAAAGUGGGGGGUUGUCAUGGAACUUCCCAAAAGAGAUAACAGGAAACCAUUUUGGACAACUGUCUAUGGUUUGAACCAACAAAUAAAGGGAAGACAUUCUAACUGAUGAAGCUGCUCAACAACAAAACCAGGAAUCUUCUGAGACAGUGAGCUUCCCAUGACUGGAAUGGUUAUAGCUGAAGCCAAAAUGGCUUACAAGAGAGGCCACACAUUGUGCUGGUUAAAAGCACAGACCCUGGAGCCAGGAUGCCUGGAUUUGAAUCCUGAUUCUCAUAUAUAGCUGGGAAACCUUGGGCAAGUUUACUUGACAUUUUUUGUGCCUCAGUUUAUUUAUUAUUGUUAUUUUUUUCCAAGACGGAGUCUUGCUCUGUUGCCCAGAGCUGGAGUGCAAUGGCACAAUCUUGGCUCACUGCAACCUCCACUUCCCAGGUUCAAGUGAUUCUCCUGCCUCAGCCUCCCAGGUAGCUGGGAUUAUAGGCGCAAACUACCAUGCCUGGCUAAUUUUUGUAUUUUUAGUAGAUACGGGUUUCACUAUGUUGGCCAGGUUGGUCUUGAACUCCUGACCUCGUGAUCUGCCCACCUCAGCCUCCCAAAGUGCUGGGAUUACAGGCAUGAGCCACUGCACCCGGCCGUGCCUCAGUUUCUUCAUCAGAAAAUAGGAAUAAUAAAGUACCUACCUCAUAGAGUUGUUAUGCGUCACUUGUUCUCUCC
rnacentral:lncRNA from 1 species